CUGACGUGGAGGAGCGCUCGCUCUUCACCUGGCGCCUUGUGACGGUUUUCAGUUUGGCACGGUUCGGCGUGGCGCUGACAUGCGUCUGCGUCCGAUAUCUGCCGUCGAAUGAGUUUGAUGGUCCAAAUUAUGCCAGCUUGAUCCACGUGGGACGCCUUGCAAGCAAUACUAAGAUCAGUUGGUGCGUUAAUUCUGUCUAUUAAAUCUAAACAUUUAUUUUUUAAGUAAUUAUUUUGAAUAAUUUAUAUAAUGAGAGACUGCCACUAAAAUACUCAUAUUAUUAUUAAAUACACAAUUGGCUUCAAAUUGUUAAAAUAUUUUUGGUCGAUAAUAUUCAUUUAAUUAAAUUAAUUGUGGGAAAUAAUUAGUUUUACUUCUUGAUGUAGUGAGAAUGACAUCCAACUGACGUACAUAUAUAUAUAUAUAUAUAUUAAAGAUUAAUCUGAGAAUAUUUUUAUAAAAAUAGGAAAAUCCCAUUGAAUUGAACGAAUAUCCUCUUUUCAAGGAAAGAGAAGAUUCCUAAACCAGUACCAAAAGUCAAGUGAGAAAAAGUAGAUACCCCCCCAUUUGAAUUAGUCUACCAGCCAUUGAUAAUGACUUUCAAACCCCAUACUUCACUGCAAAACAAUCUGAUCUGCAUUCUCCUCCUACUCCUACUCCUACUCUGCACCAACCAAAAGGAACCUUACCUUCAACCUUACUAGUUGCAUUUCUGAUUCAUUGCUCUUUUAUUUGCAUAUAUAUAUAUAUAUAUAUAUAUAUACACAUAUGUAGGACUCCUCCACAAAUAUCUCUCAAGAUUUCUAACUGAGGUUUCCUUGAAGAGGAAAAAGUUGAGGUUUUUAUACAAUCUACUACAACAAUGAAAGUUUUCUCUUUUUCAGAAAAAAAAAACAACAACAAAAAAAAAAACAAUAUCCAACGCUAAUCCUUUUCGUGAAUCUAAUCUAGGUGUUAUCGAUUUUACAAGUCAUAUCUCAUGAUGACGGUAUUCCAGCAACCAGCUCCUGGGAUCUUCUGGAAUG
rnacentral:lncRNA from 1 species